AUUGAACGCUGGCGGCAUGCUUUACACAUGCAAGUCGAACGGCAGCGCGGGCUUCGGCCUGGCGGCGAGUGGCGAACGGGUGAGUAAUGCAUCGGAACGUGCCCAGUAGUGGGGGAUAGCCCGGCGAAAGCCGGAUUAAUACCGCAUACGACCUGAGGGUGAAAGCGGGGGACCGAAAGGCCUCGCGCUAUUGGAGCGGCCGAUGUCGGAUUAGCUAGUUGGUGGGGUAAAGGCUUACCAAGGCGACGAUCCGUAGCUGGUCUGAGGGGACGACCAGCCAAACUGGAAAUGAGGACGGCCCCAGACCCCUACGGGAGGCAGAAGUGGGGAAUUUUGGAAAAGGGGGGCAACCCUGAUCCAGCCAUGCCGCGUGGGGGAAGAAGGCCUUGGGGUUGUAAACCGGUUUUGUUCGGGAAGAAAUCCUCUGGGCUAAUACCCCGGGGGGAUGGCGGUACCGGAAGAAUAAGCACCGGCUAACUACGU
rnacentral:rRNA from 1 species